UACAGAGGGGGCAAGCGUUAUUCGGAAUUAUUGGGCGUAAAGGGCGCGUAGGCGGCAUCGCAAGUGGAAGGUGAAAUCCCUCGGCUCAACCGAGGAAGUGCGCCCGAAACUGCAGAGCUUGAGUACCGGAGAGGAUGGCGGAAUUCCCGAAGUAGAGGUGAAAUUCGUAGAUAUCGGGAGGAACACCGGUGGCGAAGGCGGCCAUCUGGACGGAUACUGACGCUGAGACGCGAAAGCGUGGGUAGCAAACAGG
rnacentral:rRNA from 1 species